rnacentral:tRNA from 1 species
AGUCUUAUAUUCAAAUAUGAUUUUAAAUUGCAAAUUUAAAGGUGGGGCAACCCUAAGGCUU